rnacentral:lncRNA from 1 species
AAAGCAGCUAAAUCAGAGCCUAUGACUUUUAAAGCCAGUGGAAGACCUUUGGCGUAAUCUACAGCACGCACAGACACAUCUUCAAAACCUGUUUUAGGAUAACUUUGUUUGAAGGCAUUCCAACAAAAUAGCUCUAAAGAAUGUUGGUCAUCAAGUUCCUUCAUUUCAUACUUAAGUUUAACUUGGUGAGCAAUUAGCACAUUUUCUUCCCUUGUCGUUAUAAUGAUCCUACUACCUGGACCAAACCAAUUGCACUCUCCUGCCAACUUUUCUAACUGGUCUUUAUCACCAACGUCAUCAAGAACCAAAAGAACUUUCUUUUUCUGAAGCUUUUCUUUUAUUUCACCCAUUCCUUUAAUUGUACUUCCCAAUUUAGUUUCCAACUCCUCAAACAUAUCAGAUAAAAGUGUCUUUUGUAGAUCUUCCAUGCCAUUGAUUCUGUUUGAUUUUUCUCUAACAUCGGAAAGAAAACUUGCAGCAUCAAAGUUUUGCACAAUUUUGUUAUACAAAGCUUUGGCAAGUUCCGUUUUUCCAAUUCCACCAAGUCCAUAUAUGCCCAACAUUCUUACAGUUUUAUCUUCAGCCUUCUUGUCCAAAAGUGACUUAACUUCUUCUAUGCAAGCCUCAAGUCCAACAGGGUUUUGACCACUAUAUAAAGGUUUAGGAGUUAUAUAUUCAUGGACCUUUCCAACAAUUUCUUCAAUACGAUAGCUUUCAUCAUCCCUAUAAGAGUAGAAUGUAUUAAUUAUUUGUUUGAUAUCAUGAUUUUUAAUUUAUUGUACUAAAUGAUAAGCAUUGUGAUUAUUGUACUAGAUAGUAAGCAUUGAUAUUAAGAACCAGUAGCACAAAAGAAUAAUGAUCACACAUCAUACAAAAUUUACUGGAGAUGAAAAAGUUAGAACAAUUUUAUUCUAAGAAAAAUACCUAAAUAUAAUAUCAAAUUAAAAUAAAAAUGGAUUUUGUUUUCCACUUUGAAAUUUUUAUUAGUUUUUUAUCUUUUAAAUUAUUUUUUAUAAUGUUCAAAAUUAUUAUUUAUGACUAACAAAAUCAAUUAACACCCUGGAAAAAUCUAAAAUUUAAAUGCAUAGUCGACCAUUUAACAUUUUUUAUAAAUUAUUAUAAUUAAGAUGUAGAAUGUUAUAUAUAACAAACUACAUAUGAUAAAAACAAUAUUACAUAUCCCAUUAUAAUUAAGAUGUAUAAUAUUAUACAUAACAAACUACACGUGAUAAAAACAAUAUUACAUACCAUAAAGUAUAUUACUUGAAAAAAAAUAUUUUUUUGAAAAGUAAAGUCCUACAUAACACCAACUUACUUUUGGUGUUUAACCUUUUAUAAAAGGCUAUAGUUAUUUUUUAACUAAAAUAAUUUAUUUUUGGAUGAGAGAAAAAAUGUUUUCUUUUAAAGUUUUCUUACCAAUUGUAUUUUUUUAAUAUAUAAGAGAAUAACGUGGUAGUUAUUGAGAAAAUAUUGUUAGAAUGUAAGGUGUUGAAUAAACGUAAUUGAUGGUGGAAGUAAGAAACAAGCAAUGGACAAAAAGACAAUCUAGAAUCUCUAAGCUAGGUGUGAAAGAACCCACUAAAUGGAAGUGUAGAGGCUAGGUGAUAGAAGGUUGGAUGUAGUAGUAGUAAGGAGUUCAUGGAAGAAUAGUGGUGUUGGUGGAUGUGGUAUACUCACUACGAAAACAACAUAUUAUCGACGGUCAAAAUCCAUAAAUAAUAAAUAAGACCAAAAAUUUGUCGAUACCUAUGAAAGAGCAACAAGCCAAAUUUCACCAAUAAUAUGCUUGUCGGUGAGUUUACCAAGAGAAAAAAUUAUUUAAGUAAUUAUUAAUAUUAUCAAUUAUUAUUUUUAAAAUACUAUUUAUCAUUAACAAAUUAUAUUAUUAUUUUCAAUUAUUAGAACACAUUACCAUUCUGAUUUUUAUUAUUCUUAUUAUUAAUAAUAAUAUAAAUAAUAAUAAUAUAUUAAAAAAUAUUAAUACUGAUAACACUAUUAUUAAUAUCAAUACAAAUAAUAUUAUUAUUAAUAUCAAUACAAAUAAUAAUAUUAUUAAUACUAAUACUAAUAAUAUUAACAAUAAUAAUAUUAUUAUUAUCAUUAAUAUUAUUAUAAUUAAUUAAUAAUAAUAUUAUUAUUAUUAAUUUUAUUAAUAUUAACAUUAGUAUUAUUAGAACUAAUAUUAUUAUUCAUCUUAUUAAUAUUAUAAUUAUUAAUAUAAUAUUAAUAAUAAUAUUAUUUUAAUUAUUAUUAUUAUUAAUAUAUUUAAUUUCUGUAGUCAUUAUUAAUUUUAUUAAUAUUAAUAUUAUUAGUAUUAUAUUUAUUAAUAUAAAUCUAAUAAGAAUAAUAAUAAUAGUAUUGGUAAUAAUUACAAUAAUCAUAAUAAUUAAUAUUAUAAUAUUAUUAAUAAAAUUAAUAAUAAUUACUAACUAUGCGUUCAAAUCCUAGUUUCAAGAUAAUAAUAUUGUAAUACUUUUUUCAUGUAAUAAUACAUAAUUAUUAUGUCAAAUUGCAAUGCCUAACAUAAAAUUUUCUAUAAUUUUUUUUAAUAAUAAUACUAAGUUAAUAUUAAUAAAAUUAAUAAUAAUUAUAAUAAUAUUAAUGAUGAUAAUAAUAACAUGGAUAAUAACAAGAAUAUUAAUAUUAAUAAUUAUAAUAUUAGUAAUAUGAAUAAUAAUUAUAAUAAUAUUAUUAAUAUUAAUAGUACUAAUAUUAUUAAUAAAAUUAACAAUAAUUACAGUAAUAUUGAUAUUAUUAGUAAUAAUAAAUACAGUAUUAUUAUUAUUAUUAUCAUUAAGAAUAAUAAUAACCAUAAUAAAACAAAAAAAUGAUUUUGAUUUAGUGGUUAUCAGCUGAGUGAAUCUGGACUAAACUGUGUCUUGUAGCAAAACAAAUUUUUUAUCAAACACAAAUAUGCCGGUAAAUGCGUCAAUAAUGUCAUAUGUCGGUAUAAUUUGUUGGUAAUAAAAAAUAUUGCCAAACAUAAAUUCAUCGGUAAUUCAAUAUUUUUUUUAAUAGGUGAUUUUAAGAAACAAGUUAAAAAGACGGAACUAGGAUUUAUAAUUUUAAAACAAAGAGGUAUGAAAUCAAAACAAGUAAAUCACUGUAACUCAUAUAGGUGAUUUGGAUAAAAUGGGAUUACUAAGUAAUCUAAAUGAGAAAGGAAUGAUGAAAGGGAAGAGGUUAUUUAGUGAACUUAUACGCGCUGGUAACAUAUAAGUCCUUGGAAAAAUAAAAGUCUCGAUCAAAAUGGAUUUAAUUUGGAGACUCAAACUCUAGGUAUUUUCAUGUUGUUACGGAUUGAAAAAUAAAUAGGAAUGAGAUUAAAAAGGUGUUGAAAACCUAGGGUAGUGGAGUGCAAACCCUAUCAUUGUUAAAAGCAAGGUAAAAGAGUUAUUCUAUGAGAGGCUAAUGUAGAUUACUAAAUUCAAUGUUAGGUUAAGGAAAAUUCUCUUCUAUUUCUAUUGGUGAUAAUAUAGUCUUUAACAUGUGGGUUUACGAAACUAGAAAUUAAGAAAACACUAGGCAAUGUAAGACUGAUUAAAGUCUGUGAGAUAACUAUAAAUUUGGCUUUACAAAGAAAUUAUGGGAGGUUGUAAAAGUGGAAAUCAUACAAUCUACCCACUCUUUUCAAAUUAGUGGGAAUAUUAUAAGGGAUGCAAAGUCUCUUUCAUAACACUUACACUCACUUAUACCUAAGGUAGACAAUUCAGGUAGUUUACAUGAAUUCAAAAUUGGUCUCCUUAGUUAGGUGUAGGUAAAUUGAACUUCCAAUAAUUCUACUUGUCGGAAAUGAAUGAUAAGGGAAAUAGGAUGUAAAUGUGUAUGUGGGUAGAGAUUAUUUUGAAUAUAUAGAAUCAUAGGAAUAAAAUUAUUUUUAAGAAUGACAUCGUAUAUGCAAAAGAGAUAUUUCUUUUGGCACAGACAAAAGUAUGAGCUUGGACAAGGAAUAAAUCUCUUAAUCAACUUUUACAUAUUCUUAUUGGUGUAUAUAUGCCCAACAACUUGCAUAAAAACCUAUCUAAAUAAUAUGGUAUACUCACUCAAAUGAAUAUAUACGAUUGCUAAUUGUAAGUUAUUUUCAGUUUGAGUCUUAUGAAUGAAGCAAUAAAGAUUGAGAUUUCUUGAGUACCAUACACAUCAACGAAUUAAAACCUUAUGUAUGCCAUAUGUAAAAAAAACUAGACAUUAAAGAAGGAGUGACAAUGAUUAGUAUAGGUUUAUGGUAAAUUCUUGUGGAGGGUAGUGAAGUGUUAUUAAGAAAAUCCUUAGAUACUUUAAAGCAACAUUAUACAUUGUAUUAUGAAGGAUGAGAAUUAUAUUUCAGAGAGUUAUAUUAUAUAUGAUUAAUUAUCCCAUAAAAUACAUGAUUUUUUCUAAAUAUGGGAUGAAAAAGAAAUAAGAUUGAAUGGUUUGUUAUACAUACCCGGUGGCAAUAUGCUUCCCUGGGAAGUCAACUGCUUGAGACAAGGCUGACCUCCAAUCCUGAAUUCUCUGUGAUUCAUGUGCCUUCAUGUGUUUUCCGAAGCUAUUUCUUUCGUGCCGUAUAUCUGAGGGAUCUACAUGGUAAAACACUGGGUAAACAAGCUGCUUCUUCUCCUUCAUCUUGCUGCGUUCUAUGAUCUUAACAAGUUCAUCCAGACACCGUGUGGAAGAUGCAUAGUUCUCAGAAAACACAACGAUGAAAAUCUUAGAUUCUUCAAUGGCCUUCGACAGAUCAGGUGGAAGACUUUCCCCUGUCCUCAUAUUCUUAUCAUCAUUGAAACUUUUUAUUCCCUUCCCAUCUAACUCUCUACGCAGAUGCCCUAUAAAAUUGUUCCUUGUAUCUUCUCCUCUAAAACUGAUGAACACAUCAUAGGUGAAACCAAGACGCUCUUCUUCCUCACCAUGUUCUCCCAUGCUACAAACACACCAAAACUACACUAUGGAUUCUCAACUACUUUCAUCAAUUUAGUGUGUUCUGAUUAAAUACACUUUCUUACGCGGAUACACGCUUUCCUGUCUCACUGAAUUAAGCUUCUAAAUUAUAGGGGUUGACCAAGAAUAAGACGAUGGGGAUAUAAUUAUUACAACUACCAAACAUAAUGGCUCGAUCUUGAAAAUAAAGAUGAUGGGAACAGAAAUAAUUCACGUGGUGCAUAUUUAAUGUGGUUUAAAUUGUACAGAAUUGGAUUUCUGUGUAUAAAAAUAUAGCGUUCAGAUUCAUGUGUAUUCAAUUUAAUUUAUAGUAUUGUUUUUCUAUACAUUGAAAGUUAGGUAAAGGAUAAAAUAUUCUAGAACGAAUUUAUUAAGUUUAAAAAAAACAAUUUAUUUAUUUAUGUUUAUUAUAUAUCUUUAGGCAUUGUUUAGACUAAUUUUAAUAUGUUUAGUUUUUUUUUUAUUUAUUCAUAUAUAUGCUGAUGUUUAUUUGUUACACAUUAAUAGUUGUUUUGUAAUUUAUUUAGUUAUUUUUUAUUUAUAUAUAUAUAUAUAUAUAUUUUAUAUAUAAAAUAGUGUAAAAAAACUCAUCAAAUAAAUCAACAAAUCUUGGAGUGGGAUAGAAAACUUUUUCUAUGUUAAAUGACUUCGAAGAAGGCGAUAUGAUAGUUUUUGAAACAGAGGUUAAAAUACCAAACAAUGAAAUUCGAGUUAUUCACCUUUUAGGAUGAGUUUUUUUUUUUAUAUAUAACUUUUUAUUCUCACUUAAUUUUCUCAAAAUUUGUGUUAGUUUGUUGAUACUUAAACAAUUUAUAUAUUUAAGUGUAUUGUUUAUGUUUAUGCAUUGUUUAUAUUAAUUUUAUUAUGUUUAGUUAUUUAUUUAUUCGUAUAUGCUCAUGCUUAUUUCUUAUAUAUUAAUAUUUGCUUUCUAAUUUUUUUUUUAAUUUUCUUAUUUACAUUUACAUAUAUAUAUAUAUAUAAUUAUGUAAAUUAUUUUUUUUAAUACAAAAUAAUGAAAGAAUACGCGUCAAAUGAAUCAACAAAACUUGGAGCGGGAUGAAAGAAUUUUCUGUAAGUUAAAUGACUCAAAGAAGACGAUAAGAUUGUUUUUGAAGCAGAUAUUAACCUACCAAAUAAUGAAAUUUGAGUUAUUAGUCUUUUAGGAUGAAUUUUUUUUUUACAUAAUUGUUUAUUUUUACUAACUUUCCUCAAAAUUUGUCUCAAUUUUUUGGUACUUGAACAACUUAUUUAUUUACGUGUAUUGUUUAUGUUUAUGUAUUGUUUAUAUUAAUUUUAUUAUGUUUAGUUGUUUAUUUAUUUGUAUAUGCUUAUGUUUAUUUCUGACAUAUUAAUAUUUUCUUUCUAAUUUUUUUGCAUUUUCUUAAUUACAUUUAUAUAUAUAAUUAUAUAAAUUAUAUUUUUAUAUAGAAUAGUGAAAAAAACGCGUCAAAUUAAUCAACAAAAUUUGGAGUGGGAUUGAAGAAUUUGGAUAAGAUUAAAGGAUUUCAAAGAAUAAAAUAAGAUUGUUUAACCUACCAAAUAAUGAAAUUUGAGUUAUUAGUAUUUUAGGAUGAUUUUUAUUUUUUACAUUAUUGUUUAUUGUUACUGAAUUUCCUCAAAAUUCGUGUAAGUUUGUUGAUACUUAAAAAAAUUAUUUAUUUCUGUGUAUGGUUUAUGUUUAUGUAUUGUUUAUAUUAAUUUUAUUAUGUUUAGUUGUUUAUUUAUCUGUAUAUGCUCAUGUUUAUUUCUUAUAUAUUAAUAUUUGCUUUCUAAUUAUUAUUUUUAUUUUCUUAUUUACAUUUAUAUAUAUAAUUAUAUAAAUUAUAUUUUUAUACAGAAUAGUGAAAGAAAAUACAUCAAAUAAAUCAACAAAAUGAAAAAAUUUAUGUAAAUUAAACGACUUCAAAAAAGACGAUAAGAUUGCUUUUGGAGUAGAAGUACCUACCAAAUAAUGAAAUUCGAGUUAUUAGCCUUUUAGAAACACUACAAAAGAUAUUUAUUCAUUACACACUGAUUAUUACAUACGGAUUUAGAUCCGUAUAUAAUUAUGGAUUUAUAUACGGAUAUUACAUACGGAUAAAAAUCAGUCACUAAAUUGUUUAUACAUACUGAUUUUUCUGUAUGUAAAAGUAAAUAAAUUUUAUAAAAUAUAUCCGUAUAAAAAAUAUGUAUGUAACAAAGAACAUCUGUUGCAUACAGAUAUUUUAAAUUUAUUUAUUAAAAAAAUAAGUUUUAGAAGUUUUGUCAUUUUUUCACUAAAACCCCAACGUUUGCCCCCAAAACCCGUGUGCCCUAAUUCUAUCUUCAGAAGUGGAGUGUGUGAAGCUCAAUCUUGAAGCAAAGGUGAAGCUCCGUCCGACCUUCUGAAAAAUACAAAGGUGAGUUUGUUCUUUAUCCUAAUAUCUGUUUGCAUGAUGUAUUUUGUGCCAACGAAUGGUAUGAAAAAGGAAGGCAAUGGUGGACACAUGAAUGACACUGUUUGGAAACCAUGAGUGCUGGCCUCCUUAUCUCUUUCCUUUUCGCAACCUUACUCACUCUCUCAUCCCCUUUUCUAUGUCACUGCCUCUCCUUAUAUUGAUGAAGAGUGAGAAGAAAAAAAAGAGUAGGUGAAGGUAGGUGGUGGGAAGUUGGGAGAGAAAUGAGGGAGUAGUGGAGAUUUUGGAAAGAGUGGGAGCAGGUGUAAGAGAGGCAGCAGGUGCAGAGUAAGUGGCGUGGAGAGUGUGGGUCAAAUGUUAGUAAUAUUUGACUGUCCCCAAACCCACAUUAUGGGAGCUUCAUGUACCAAACCACCCACACUUUGGAACUUUUGCUCCGUAAGACCAUAAAGGACCAUCUAAGUGGAGAAAAACUUGAUCUCCUUUUAGUGGGAUUCUUUACUUACAAUUGAUUAAUUCUACAUUGAACUCAUCAUCAACACUUAGAUUUUUACUUUUUCAAUUACUUGUUCCUAUAAUAUUAUUAAUUCUAAUCUAUGACAUUGCUUUCACAGAAUAGAGUUUCAUCUAAUUUCUUUGAAGGUUGUGUUUGUCCUAUCCCAUGUUUAUGCCUAUAAUAUUGCAUGUAUUGUUACUUACUUUUUACACAUAUAGACUUUGAGGAGCCAUGUUAAAUUUUCCAUUCUGUUAAAAUACCCGUGUUUUUUUGUUGCUCAUUUGCUUUUAUCAAACAAAACCAAUCCUUGGUCAUUCAUUAUAUGGAGGACAUAUAAGUUUUUGUUUUUUGUCUUUGGUCUUGAUAGAUGCUUUGUUUGAUUGUUAAUUUAUGCUAAGGAAAAUGAGAAAACAAUGGACAUUGAAUAGUAAUUGGAGGAGUUGGUGUUAAUGCAUGAUGCAGCUUUUGCAGAGAAUCUAAGGUCCAUCUGUGUGGGUGGAUAAGUGGGAAUUAGCACGCAGAGAACCUAACUAGUGUUCAUGGACAUCACUUUUAAACAAAGCACCCACAUGCCUCUUCUGUGAGACUACCACGUUUCCAUAUUGCAAGUCAUGUCCUUAUUUGGAAAGCUAAUCCAAAUACGUGUAAUCUCCUCGAAUAUGAAAGGGCAUAGACCAUAUUCUCUUUAAGCUAAAUACCUUUUUCCUUCCACAAGGGCCUAGGGCAGUUUCUUUGAAGCACCUUUUAGAGAUAACUCUAUUUAAUAUAUACAACAUCAUUGGUAGAAGAAGUACUUAUAAUUAGUGAAUCUAUAACUGCAAAAAGAUAAUAAUGUGGAUUAAACCCCUUGGAUUACCUAAUCUUGCCACUAUAUGUGGAUGAAGCACUCAUUCACUUUUCUAAGAGUAAAUUUAAUUCAAUGGAAAAUAGAACAAUUAUCACAAAACACAUAUUAUCACAAACACACAUGAAAUUACUUAUUAUCAUUAUACUACAUAAAGUUCAAAAUAACUUCAAUUCUAAACUACUCACCAAGAUUUUUACAAAAACGAAUGUGUUACAAACACAAUACACACUACAAGAAAACAGCCAAAUAGCUUCCAAAUUUCUGUGUGGGCCAUUUUCGGACGCUACUAUCGUCGGCCAAAAUGAGGAGAAACCCACGCAAAAAUGGCAAUGGAUGCAAAACGGACGCACUUAUGGAUUUAAUGUUUUUUUUUAAAACAAUCUAGUUUGCGUCGGCCCAGGCCCACGCAUAUGCGUCAGCAUGCGUCCCACGCAUAUGCGUCGGCCACGGCCCACGCAUAUGCGUCCGUCACAACCCACGCAAAGCCCACGCAUGUUUAUAUUUUAGGAUUUUAAAAUUAUUUAAUGUAUAACAAAUAUUUUAAUAUUUAAUUCUUUAUUUUAUUUAUUUUAAAAUUAUUUCUUUAAUAUUAUAAUAAAUUAUUUAAUUUAUCAAAUUUUAAUAUAAAUUAGUUAAAUUAAAAUUAUUAAAUUAAUUAAGCGUUUGAUUUAAAAUUAAUUUAGUAAAAGAAAAGAUCUAUUUAAAUUAUUUAAAUGUUAUAUAAAAUAUUUUAUUAUUUUAAAAAUUAUUUAUUUUAAACUUAUUUUAUUUAUAUAUUGUCAUAAAUAUAUAUUUUUUAAAUUAUGAUAUAAAUUAGUUAAAUUAAAUUUAUUAAAUUGAGGAAGUGUUUAAUUUUGAAAUUAUUUAAAUGAAGUUAUCUUAAAAAGUUUAUAAAGAUUUGAAAACAUGUAGAAAAAUAAUAAUUAAUUAAAAAAUAGUAAAAGAAAAGUAAAAAAAAAUGCGUAUUUAAAUUUUGUAAAUAUUAUAUAAAAUAUACAUAAAUUUAAGAAUAUAAAUUCAAGAUGAAGUAAUUAAUUAGUGCAAAUGGUAAUGGAUGUAUUUAAAAAUAGAGAAUAAAUUUUAUCUAAAAAUGUUUUAUUUGGUUUAAGAAAAAAAAGUUGGAUAAAACUUUUAAUUAGUAAUAUAACUUAAAUAAAUUUAAAUGUUAUAUGUGUGCAAUGGCUAAAUGAACUAGGAUUUUUUGUUUUGAUAUCCAUUAUAAUUUUAAAGAUGUUAUUUCUCAUAAAUGAAGCAUAAAAUCAUCUUAAAGAAUUAGCGAAAAUGUAUAUGAUACAAACAUAUUAAGACUAAGUGCGUGAGUAAGUAACUUAUUCUUAAUUCUUAAAUUAAUACAAUAUCCAAAGUGUUUCAAAGUUGACUAUAUGCUCUAUAAAUGUCAUUGUUAUAGUUACUAAGUAUGAUCUCUAAAAGAAAUUAAUGUUUUCCAACUGAAGCACAAAAUAAUGUAGUAAGUUGUAAGUAACGAGAUGACACAUAUGCAAUAUUCUUUAUAAGUGUGUUAAUAUAGUUUCCCAAUGUUCGCCUGAUAGCGAGAGUCGAGGGAGAAGCACGAAGACGAGAAGUACCCCAGUCAAGCACCCAACAACCUGCCCGACUGAGGGAAGAAGACGAAAACUUCAAUAGUUCUCUAGGUCCCAUCUCCCCAGCAGAAACAAAUUAAUAACCCUAGUCCAUUGUCAAGGUAAGAGUUAAACUAAGAAGUGCAUUAUAAAGGCUGAAAGAGAGUAUCAUAAGCAAUUUGAGAAAUAUGAGUCAUUUCGUGAUAGUUAUAGAAUUAACUUAGAAUCAUGGAAUAUAGUUGAUUAUUAGAUUUUGGAUUAUAAGUUAGAAAGGAUUAUAAGUUAGAUUUAACCACUAAACCAAGCAAAUUCUUUAGUAUUAUUAUAAUUUUAAUUAUACUUAUUAUUAUUAACAAUAUUAAUAAUAUUAACAAUAUUAUUAAUAUUAACAAUAUUAAUAAUAUUAAUUUUAAUAAUAUGAAUAUUAUUAAUAUUAAUACUAAUAAUAUUAAUAAUAUGUAUAAUAAUAUUAAUAAUAUUUAUAAUUAUAUUAAUAAUAUUUAUAAUUAUAUUAAUAAUAUUUAUAAUUAUAUUAAUAAUAUUUAUAAUUAUAUUAAUAAUAUUUAUAAUUAUAUUAAUAAUAUUUAUAAUUAUAUUAAUAAUAAUAUGACCAAAGAAUUUGUCUGGUCUAGUGGUUAAUGCUUCCCUAGUUACUGGAAGGACUUGAGUUUCGUGGCGUCAGAACCCAGAUUCUGCAUGUUGUGUCCGUUUUUUGCUUCCACGCUAAGUAUAUUUUUUUUUAUCUUUCUUUAGGUUGAUUGACUUGGUUCAUAAGAAUUAACAACAGAUCGAUUCUCAAAAUUGAAGGUGAAUGGAAUUUAAUCUUCAUUUUGGCAUAUUUUUAGUAUUAUAGUAAUUUGUAGCUAACUUGUUCACCCUGUUAUUAACAUGGACACUUCAAAUUUGUCUGUUGCAUUGAUUUAUAAUACUAGAACUUUGCUAGUUUGUAUAAUUGUAAAUGGUAUGAAAAGAAAACAUGAUAGGUACUGAAUCGUGAGACUACAUAAUACUGGUGUGAGACUGUAAAAUACUGUGUAUUUAUACUGUUGUAAUUUUGACUGGUGUAUACUGCUGUGUAUUGAAGUUUCUUGACUCUUUUGAGAAUAUAAAAAAGGCUCUCAAAGUUUAUUGUGGAGUUUUGCAUCUGAUCCAUGAUAACAAUUGCUCCCUCUAUCGAAUCCCUUUAUUUUCAUGAAAAAAAAAAUAAAAUAAAAAAAAUGAAAGUCUGUAAAUUUUGCAUUAGGUUUUCAACCUAUGCUAUAUAUGGACCUCUUUAUUGCAUUAUGGUGUGUGUAUGUUUAACUAAAUAAAAGAAUAAAAUAAAUCUUUACAAGGAACUGCAUAUUAAAUGUUGUUGGCAUGAACUUCUUUAGGUUUUUUGCUUUAAAGAAACUACAAUAAUAAAGCCAAGUAUAAUUUUUUUUAAUCUUCCUAGGUUGAUUGACUUGGUUCAUCAGUUGUUGGAUGAUCAGUUCUUCAUUUUGACAUAUUUUUAGUAUAGUAGUUAAUUUGUUUACCACCCCGGUUGUUAAUAUGGUCACUUUUAAUUUUAUCUGUAAUACAUUAUUUCUUUACUAGUUUGUAUAAUUGUAAAUAGUAUAAUUAAAGUUUUGCAUUAUGGUGUGUAAGGUUAUCUAAAUAAAGGAAUAAAAUAAAUUUAAAAUCUGACCACAGUUACAUACGGAUAUAUCUGUAUGUAAAUCUGAACACAGUUACAUAUAUUUGUAUGUAAAUCUGAACACAGUUACAUACAAAUAUAUCUGUAUGUAAGUCUGAUCACAGUUACAUACGGAUUUAUCCGUAUAUAACAAUUACCUACGAUAAUUUUAUAUACGAAUUUUUGUCCGUAUGUAACUAUGUUUUAUAUACAAAUUUAUUGAGUUACAUACGGAUUUGAGUUGUAUGUAAUACCAACUUUUCUUGUAGUGGAAGAAUCUCUUCUUUUACACAGUUGUUUAUUGUUACUGACUUUCCUUAAAAUUUAAGACAGUUUGUUGAUACUUGAACAAUUUAUUUAUUUACAGGUAUUGUUUAUGUUUAUGCGUUGUUUAUAUUAAUUUUAUUAUGUUUAGUUGUCUAUUUAAUCAAAUAUGCUCAUCUUUAUAUCUUAUAUAUUAAUAUUUGUUUUCUAAUUUUUUUAUUUUCUUAUUUACAUUUACAUUUAUAUAUAUAUAUAUAAUUAUAUAAAUUAUAUUUUUAUACAGAAAAGUGAAAGAAAACAAGCCAAAUAAAUUAACAAAACUUGGAAUGGAAUUGAAGAUUUUUUGUAUGUUAGAUUACUUCAAAGAAGACGAUAUGAUUGUUUUUGAAGCAGAGACUAACAUACCAAAUAAUGAAAUUCGAGUUAUUUUGCUUUAGGAUGAGCCAUUUUUUUACACAAUUGUUUAUUGUUACUUACUUUUCUCAAAAUUUGUGUCAGAUUGUUGAUACUUGAACAAUUUAUUUAUUUAUGUAUAUUAUUUGUGUUUAUGCAUUGUUUAUAUUAACUUUAGUAUGUUUAGUUUUUUUAUUUAUUGGCAUUUGCUGAUGUUUAUUUCUUAUAUAUUAAUAUUUGUUGUAUAAUUUUUUUUUCUCAUUUACAUUUACAUUUAUAUAUAUAAUUAUAUAAAUUGUAUUUUUAUACAAAAUAGUAAAUCAAAACGUGUCAAAUUAAUCAACAAAACAUGAUGCGCGAUGAAAGAAUUUGUGUAGGUUAAAUGAUUUCAAAGAAGACAAUAAGAUUAUUUUUGAAACAAAGGUUAACAUACUUAUAAUGAAAUUCGAGUUAUUCGACUUUUAGGAUGAGUCCUUUUUUACACAUAUGUUUAUUAUUACUUACUUUCCUAAAAAUUUGUGAGUUUGUUGAUACUUGAAGAAGUUAUCUAUUUACCUAUAUUAUUUAUCUUAAUGCAUUGUUUAUAUUAAUUUUAAUAUGUUUAUUUUUAUAUGCUAAUGUUUAUUUCUUAUAUAUUAAUAUUUGAUUUUUAAUUUUUUAUUUAGUUUCUUAUUUACAUUUAAAUUUAUAUAUAUAUAUAUAUAUUUAAUUAUAUAAAUUAUAUUUUUAUUCUAAACAAUGAAGAAAACGCACCAAAAAAAUCAACAAAACUUAGAAUGGGAUGUAAGAAUUUAUGUAUGUUAAAUGACUUUAAAGAAGACAAUAUAAUUAUUUUUUAAGCAAAUGUUAACAUACCAAAUAAUAAAAUUUGAUUUAUUCGUCUUUUAGGAUACAUCAUUUUUUACACAACUCUUUACUAUUACUUACUUUUCUCAAAAUUUGUGUCAGAUUAAUACUUGAAUAAUUUUAGUUACGUGCAUGAUUAUUUUUAAUGUAUUAUUUAUAUUAAUUUUUAUGAUAUUUAGUUUAUUUAUUUAUUAGAAUAUGUUUAUGUUGGUUUCUUAUAUAUUAAUAUUUGGUUUUUAAUUUUUUUAUUUUGCGUCUCUUUAUGUGUUUUAAAUUAUUAAUUAUUGUAAAAUUUAUUUUACUUUAUUUUUUAAUAUAUUGAUCUUAUCUAUUAUUAGUUUAUUAGUUUAUGUAAUUGUUAAUUAAUGUAAUUUUGACUUAUAAAUUAUGAUAGAACUCAUAUUAAGUUUCAGAAUGUCAAAAUUAAUAUUUUACGUUUUAGAAAAUCAAAUUUAAUUUAAUGUAAUAUAUGAAUUAAUUUUUCUAAAUUUAUUUAAUAUUAUAAUAUUAUUAUUUAAAUAUGAAAGUUUAGAAAAAAUAACCGUUUGUUGCACGGUCAAAGUUCUAGUAGAAAUACAAAUAGAGGGGCACGUGACGUCUCCUUUUGAUUACAGCUAAAUCCAGAAAUCUUUGAAGGGUCCCGGAAAAUGAUUCUUUCAUACUUCACCAGAUUCUUAACUGCUUUUCUAACGCACUCCAUAUGCCAUAAAGUGACACAAUAAUGUAAUCACCUUCCUUAUUAUCAUUUCAUUUAAUACAGUUUCUUACGCUGAUACAAGAUGGGGAUAUAGUUAUUACAACUACCAAACAUGAUGGCCCGAUCUAGAAAAUAAAGAUGAUGGGAACAUAAAUAUUUCACGUGGUGCAUAUUUAAUGUGGUUUAUAUUGUACGGAUUUGGAUUACUCUGCAUAAAAAUAUAGCAUUCUUAUUCAUGUGUAUUGAAUUCGAUUACAGUCUCUAAAAUUUUAAAAUCACCGACUCUCAAUUAAAUAACUAAGUUUAUUUUAUCUAUUAUAUUUAAGAUAACAGCUUUGACAUUUUUAAAUCUAAAACAUUUAAUUAACUCAAGAAUAUGUAAAUUUUUAAUUAGUAUAUUUUUUUAUGUAUUUUUUUAUAUAUAUUAAAAUCUAUACUAUAUUACUAGAACUAACUGAAAUGAAAUGGCGAAGAGACUCAACAGUAAAAAAAACUUGAAGAUGGUAAAUUGUUCAACUUAAAGCCAAAUUUUCCGAAAUGGCUGAAAAUAGAGACGAUACCCUUGGUAAUUUUUUACCAUGAUGGAGUUAUUUUUUCUUUUUUUACUAAAAUGGGGUCCGUUUUAAAAAAAUUACAAAUUUAGGCAAGUCGUGCCAAUUUGGUACGACUUCAUAUGCAGAAGUCGUCCCAAUUAGGUACGACUUUUGUCAUGUCAUACUAAAGUCGUGCCACUUGGCACGACUUCUGCCCUGUCAUACUAAAGUUGUGUCAACUUGGUACGACUUCUGCCUUGUCAUACUGAAGUCGUGCCCUAUCACUUCAUUCUCCACACCAUCAAAUUCCUUACACGUAUAACUUUUUACCUUCUCCUUCAGGUACUUUUUCCACUCCACCAAAUAUAUUUGGAACUUUGGCAUUCACCCCUCUUUCUGCAUAUAAUCCAACAUCAUUCAUGCACUAUCGACCCACAAUGCCCUCACCAACAUCUCAUAAUGAAGGCAAUAACAACGAUGAUGAACAUGUCGUUGAUGAUCCUCUUCCACGAAGACCUCGACAACAAAUACGAAGACCACAUUGUGUCACGUCUUCCCAUAAAUAAUUUACUUCUAGUUCAACUUUAUAGUUUUAUUUUAUAUCUUGUAAUGAAUCUUACUAAUUUGUUUAGUUCUAAUUAAUCUCUUCUCAUCAUUACGUGUUCUGUAAAAUCAUUAUUUCUCAAGCUAUUUAUUUUGCAAAUUCACAACAAUAAUUCUCUAUUUAUUUUCCAAAUACAAUAAAUUUUCAUUUAUGUAUUUAUUUCCAAAUUUAAUAACAAUUUUCUUCAUUUUUUAAUUAAUCAAAUAAUCAAGUUAUUGUAUUACAUUACCGUCAAACAUGAUUCAUACACGAUUAUCCCAUUUUUUGUUCCUUAAAACUAACACUCUUAGAAAAUUAUGUAUCAAAUUAAUUUUUAACAUUACAUAACUUACUACCCAAUAUAUAAAUAAUAAAAUUAAAAAAAAUUAUGACGUGGCAGAAGUCGUGCCAAGUUGGCACGACUUCAGUAUAACAUGGUUGAAGUCGUGCCAAGUUGACACGACUUUAGUAUGACAUGGCAGAAGUCGUGCCUAAUUAGGACGACUUCUGCAUAUGAAAUCGUACCGAAUUGACACAAUUUGCCUAAAUUUGUAAUUUUUUUUAAACGGACCCCAUUUUGGUAAAAACAAAAAAAAAAAUAACCCCAUCAUGGUCAAAAAACCUCAAAGGAUAACGUCAAGUUAAAUAUGUAAUAUGUAUGUAUGUCCUAACAUAUCCAACUCUCUUUUUAUUCGACCAUUUUUAUGUUAUGUAAUACAUUUAUUGUAUGUUGUAUCUCACCAAUCCUUCUGAAAAUUCUAUUGUGGUGUAAGAUUCGGUUUUCGUGCCUCUGACAUUGCCAUGCUUACUAAGUUAUCCUUCAUAAUUUGUCACAAUAUUGCUACUUAUCAAAGGAAAAGUUAUUUGAGCAAAAUACUUACUACUACAUGUCCUGUCUUUGAACUACUUUGAAUUUUUCAUAAACAACAACCUAACCAAACACGAUGCUUUAUAUCCUAUGUACUAUUUAUUUUUCUCAUUUUUAAAUAUAUCCCCUCUCUCACAUGCAUGAACUGACAGGUAUGUCAGGUGUAUUUUGAGGAGAACAAUUCAUCAGUAUCUUUGAUUGGAAGUCCGUUUAACAAAUGGGAUGACGCUUCGGAGGAAGAAUCGAAAGCCCAAAUAGAAGAUAGUGUUGGUGAAGGUUUUUCAGACUCCGAUUACUCAGAACAUGGUGGUAGGCAAGAAGAGAGAAGAGGAGAGGAGAUCGUUCAAUUUCCGACGGAAAAGAAGAGUUUCCAAAAGACGACGCAUGUAAUAGUGGGGGAAUUAAUUCUGUUGGGAAGAGCCAAAAUGUCACGUUGGAAAUGAGGAAAGAGAAAAUUUUUGUAUGGAAAACGUGUAAACCUAAUAAUUUUAUUACAAAAUAGAACAUAGAUAAAUAAAAGAGAACAAAAGAUGAACAAAAGAGUAAAAGGAAGGUAAAAAAUAUGAGAAUGAAUAUCUUUCUUUUCUUGUUAUUGAAAUCAAAACAAAUGGUCUGAAUAUAUACAAGUAGUACACUCAUUCUAGGUUUAACUAAAGAUGAAAAGAAUCAAUAAUUAAAUACUAGAAUCAUAACAAACAAAGACAAAAUAAAGGUUAUUCACCUCUAUAAAGAGAAACAACUGAUAAUUAGAAAAGAUACCCAAUUAAUAUUAAGAUUCUUCUAUAACUCUGGUAUCCGUAUCCUUUAAUACCCCGUCACAAGCUGGGGAGCAAAUAUUGAUGAGACCCAGCUUGGAACAAAUAUUCUUAAAAGAUUGAGGACUUAAAGCUUUGGUAUAAAUAUCAGCCAGUUGCUCUGUGGUGGAAAUGAGAAGCAAAUGAAUGAGACCCUUCUUUAAUUUUUCCCGGACCACGUGACAAUCUAUUUCUAUAUGUUUCGUACGCUCGUGAAACACUGGAUUUGCUGCAAUGUAUCUUGCUGAGUCAUUGUCACAGUAUAAAAGAGAUGGUUGCUCAAAAGGAACUUUGAAAUCUUGAAAAAGAUAAGUUAGCCAUUGAAUUUCACAUGUAACAGUGGUCAUUGCCUUGUAUUCAGCUUCACAAGAACUCUUUGAUAUUGUUCCUUGCUUCUUUGAUUUCCAAGAUAUGAGAGAAUUCCCAAGAUACACACUAAAACCAGUCACUGAUUGUCUUGAAUCACUACAGGUGCCCCAAUCACUAUCACAAAAGGCUUUCAGAUGAACAGAGGUAGUGGAAGAGAAAAAUAGACCAAGACUUGGAGCCCUUUGAUAUAUCUGAGAAUUCUAAUCGCUGCAUUAUAGUGAGCAAUUGUAGGCUUAGCAAGAAACUAAAAAGUUGUUGUACAAAAUUUUUUAUGUCAGGUCGGGUAUUAGUGAGAUACAUAAGUUUUCCAAUCAAUCUUCUGUAGGUUUGAAUAUAUGUGAAAGGAACACUUCCAGUAGAAGAGAAUUUCUCAUGAUUAUCAAUAGGAGUGGGUGUAGGUUUGCAGGCUAAAAGACCUGCAUAUGUUAAUAAUUCUAAUGCAUAUUUCCUUUGAUUUACCAUUAUUCCUGUCUUACCUUUUGCUACUUCUAGACCAAGAAAAUAUCUUAAAUUCCCAAGAUCUUUAAUCUUGAAUGUCUGAUUCAUGGCUUGUUUGAUUCGAGCAAUCUCUUCUUUAUCAUUUCCUGUCAAUAUUAUAUCAUCCACAUAUACCAAUAAUGCUGUAAAAGAUCCUUCAGAAUAAUUAAUGAACAAGGAAUGAUCAUUCAUAGAUUGAGUAUAUCCCAUAGAAAGCAAAAAUGAUGACAGUUUGGCAAAACCAUUAUCUACUGACUUGCUUAAGGCCAUGUAAAGCCUUUUUUAGUUUACAAACUUUUCCUGGUGGAAUAAAAGUCAUUCCAAGAGGAGCAACCAUGUAUACAUUUUCUUUUUCAAAUCUCCAUGUAAAAAGACAUUUUUAUGUCUAAUUGUUUCAAUUCCCAAUUAUAAAUAGAAGCUAAAGAAAGAAGCAACCUUAUGGUGGUCAUCUUUGCUACUGGAGAGAAAGUAUCAAGGUAGUCAAUGCCUUCUGUUUGUGUAUAUCCCUUUGCCACUAACCUUGCUUUAUACCUUUCAAUUGUCCCAUCAGCCUUAUAUUUUAUUUUGAAUACUCAUUUGCAACCUAUGGCACCUUUAUUCUUAGGCAGAAGAGCAGUCUCCCAAGUUUGAUUUGACUAUAAAGCAGAUAUCUCACAUUGUAUAACUUUUCUCCAACAUUCAUGUUUCACAGCUUCAUAAUAAGUGUUUGGCUCAACAUGUGAAGAAAGAGACAUAACAAAAGAUUUAUAAGGAGGUGAUAAAUUGCUAUAAGACAAAACAGAAUUAAAAGGAUAUUUAACUCUUGAAGAUGCACUGGAAACAUUAAGAUUACAAUGAUAAUCAAUACUCAGGUGGUCUUUUUAUUCUUGUGCUCAUUCGGAAAGAUGGAUCUGAUUUAGAACUUUGUUCUAUAUCAUGAUUUUCAUUGAGGUUUUGAUCUAUGUGGGAACAAUCUUCUUCUGAAACAUCAAUUUCUGACUCACAAUUAUUAUCACUGCUAUUUUCAACAUUAUCACAAGGUGUAUUAUCACAAGGUGCAAGAAUGGCUUGUGAUGACUGAUAUAAGACAGAUUGAUCUUCAGCAAACAAAAUUUGAUCAUUAAUGUCAGAACUGUUAGUUUCAUUGCUAGUAUCUUGAAUCCUUUGGUAUGGAAAAACAUGUUCAUAAAAGACAACAUCCCUAGACACAAAUUUCUCUUGAUUGAAUAUUCAACAAAAUAUAUCAUUUUGUCCCCCUUUGAAAACCAAUAAAAACACAUUUUGAUGCUCUUGGAUCAAAUUUUCUUCUAUUUGUUGACAAAGUGCUAGCAUAACAUAAAGAACCAAACACCUUUAAUCCAUUAAAAUUUGCAUCAGUUUUGAAAAGCAUUUCAUGAGGAGAAGAAUAGUUUAAAACAGGUGUGGAAAGCAUGUUUAUAAUAUGUGCAACAUGUAUCACAGAAUAUGACCAAUAAAUUUUGGGUAAAUGAGAUUGUAUCAUAAGAGCUCUUGCUACAUCUAAUAAAUGAUCAUGUUUCCUUUCAACUAUACUAUUUUUGUUGUGGAGUAUUGACACAUGAUGUUUGAUGUAUUAUUCCUUUACUGNNNNNNNNNNNNNNNNNNNNNNNNNNNNNNNNNNNNNNNNNNNNNNNNNNNNNNNNNNNNNNNNNNNNNNNNNNNNNNNNNNNNNNNNNNNNNNNNNNNNNNNNNNNNNNNNNNNCAGAUUUUUGUUUCAAAAGAAAAAUCCAUGUGUACCUCGAAUAGUCAUCAACUAUGGUCAAGAAAUAUUUAUGACCAUGAAUUGAUGGUAUUGAGUAUGGUCCCCAAAUAUCUACAUGAAUCAAAUCAAAACAUUUUUUUUUGCGAUUUAGAUGUACUAAUAGGAAAAGAAAGUAUUUUUUGCUUUGCAAAAUGACAAACAUCACAAACAAAAGAUUUGUUAUAUUUAACAUAAGGAAAUUUAUUCUUGAUAACAUUAAUACAUUUAUUUGAAAUAUGACCUAAUCGAAAAUGCCAAAGGGUUUCUAGAUCACUAGCACUAACAUUAACAGUAUUGAUGAUGUGUGUACAUUCAAGGGGUUUAAUUUGAAAUUUCCGGUGAGAUGGGAUCCUGAGUAUAUAAAGUCUAUCUUGCAUCUGAGCAGAACCAAUUAUUUUCAAGGAGUUUUUGUCUUGAAUGUGACAACCAUUAGAAUCAAAGGUAAGAACACAAGAUAGUCUAUCAAUCAGUUUUGUUACUAAAAGAAGAUUAAAAGUGAAGCAAGGAAUAUACAAAACAUUGUUUAUGACAUGAUCUUGAUUGAGAAAAACACUUCCAGAAUAAUUGGCAAUGACUUGGUUUCCAUUUGGUAAUUUGACAUAAAAAGGAUCAAUUUGAUGAUACGAAGUGAAGUAAGUUAAGGAUGAACAAAUGUGAUCAGUAGCACCACUAUCAAUAAUCCAAGAACUAAAAGAAGAAAUAAAGUUAUUACCAGUUUGUGUUGUCAUGAUGGAAGGAAUAACAAAGACUUGACUAGAAACAUUGUCACUGGAUUUGACCUGUUGUAAAAGAGCUAACAAUGUUUGAUACUGCUCAGGAGUAAAACCAAUUUGUUGAGACUCCACUUCUAACUUUGAACCUUCAUGAUUUUGCUCAUUAUUGUUAAAAUUUGUAUUGUGAAAGGCUGCAUGACUCUGAUGAUGGUUUUGAUUUUUAAAUUUGAAAUGAGGUGGAAAACCACGCUUUUUAUAGCAUGUAUCAAUGGUAUGCCCUGUCUUUCCACAAUAAAUGCAAAUUUUGGAAGUAUAUCCUCCUCCAUAGUUUCCUCUUCCAUAUCCACCACCCAUGCCAUAGGUCGUAGCAUUGUUAUUAUAACCUCCUUUGCUACUAGCAAUCAUUGCCUUGGAUUGAUCACCAAAAACUUGCCUCUAUUGUUGUGUAAUGAGAGAGUAAACUCUAUUCAAGGAUGAAUUAUCUUAUGAACUAACAUGGUAAGGUGAACAAAGAUCUUGUGAGGGAUCAACAACUUCACCCAUAGAUAAAUGUAGCAACCAAAGCUCUAAUCAGAGCUCUCUUUUCUUGUUAUUGAAAUCAAAACAAAUGGUUGAAUAUAUACAAGUAGUAUACUCAUUCUAGGUUUAACUAAAGAUGAAAAUAAUCAAUAAUUAAAUACUAGAAUCAGAACACACAAAGACAAAAUAAAGGUUAUUCACCUCUAUAAAGAGAAACAACUGAUAAUUAGAAAAGACAAUUAUUCUCCUCUAUAAAGAGAAACAAUUGAUAAUUAGAAAAGAUACCCAAUUAAUAUUAGGAUCCUUCUAUAACUCUGGUAUCUGUAUCCUUUAAUACAUUUCUUGGCAGAAAUUAAGUGCAAAAAGACUAAUGAUAGAGUAUGAGCAGAUGUCCUAAUUUGUAGUGGGUUGGUUUAGGCCUAACUGAAUGCAUACAGUUGGGUUAGGGAAACCCUAAUUUAUGACACAAUUGCUGACAUGGACUCACAACUAGAAAUUGUUAGACAAGGAGGAGCGACGAACUGGGUGGGAGACGACGCGGUUCCCCCUACGUCGCUGACGGUGGCUUACGACACUGGUUUCGAGGGCCUCGACAUCGACGAAGCCGACGCGGCUUCUCUUGCGCCGCCGGUAGCGGCUAAUGUAAUUGGUAUUGAGGAUCCCAACGCUGGUUAUACCUUGAAGUUGUCGGAGGCAGGCAGUGAGGGGCAACGAUUAUUGAUGGCGGUUGUCGAAGAUGCUAGAACAAUGAAGGAGGCAGGCGAUGGUGCAAUUAGUGACGGCCGUGGCGCGACUGUAGUGGCGAGCAAUGGCGAGAUUGGUGCUAGCAAUGACACGACUUCAGUGGUUGGAGAUGGCGCGACUAUAGUGUUUGGCAAUGGUGUCGGCGCGUCUGUAGGGGCGGAGCAGCGUGCGGCAGCGGCUGACGCUGUUAUGUAUGAUAGUUCCGGCAUGGGGCGCGGCAGUGGAGAGGAGGUGAGCGACGAAUGUGUGGUGGUAGUGGUGGCAAGGGUUACACAUGUUGAGGGAGAAGAAGGUGGGUUUGAUGACGAAAACAAAGGAUCUUUGGGGUGUGAGGCAAUCAGAGAAACAACAAGCGUGAUGGAGAGGAUGGGGUUAGUAUGGAGUAGAGAGGAUGAUGGAGCUGCAAAGACGUCCACUCAUAGGGGCACGAUAAGGGAGACUGAGACUUUUUUUUGCAAGUCACCCAGUGGGGAGGAUGAUGGCUAGUUUUGGCGGAAGGGUGGACGAUUUGCCUAAAUCGAGAGACGAAAGCUCACCGAGGAUUGAAAGGUUAUCUAUGUCAGAUUCACUAAAAUGCUUAAGAUCAGAAAUCAUUAUCUUAGACAAAGAUGCCAGAAAAUACAGUAGAAUGCUUUGGUUAAAAGAUGAGCAGGGCGAAGCUAGGAAGAGAUGGAAAGUUGGUAAGGAGAUGAGUUUCACACUGUUAAGUGAAGAAAAUGUGGUAUUAAAUAGGCUUAGCAGUUUGGAGAAUCGGGAUUGCAGGAAUUUGGAGAUGGAGAUUAAUGUUUUUUAUGAUGAGUCUAAUUAGUUUGAAUAUAAGAGGAGUAAGAGGAAAUAUAAAAAGAACAUACGUAAGAGAAUUAAUUAGAAAAGAGGAGGUUAGAAUGGUUUGUUUACAGGAAACAAAGUCCUUAGUGCUCAGUAAGAACAAUUGCUUUUAUAUGUGAGGUUCAAAUGAAAUUGAUUGGGUGGAGAAUGGUGCAGUAAAUAAUGUUGGUGGAAUCAUUACUAUGUGGAGAAGAAGUAGUUUUAAUAAGACAAGUUUUUUAAAUGGGAAAUGUUACUCUAUCAUCGAAGGAGUUUGGAAAGUAGGAGACGGGAUACACAUUACGAUAGUAAAUGUGUACAGUUCCAGCUCGUUGAAAGAAAGGAAGGAGGUUUGGGAUGAGUUACGAGAAAUCAGGAAGAACCAACAAAACAAGGUAUGGUGUGUUGUCGGGGAUUUUAAUUCAAUCAGAAGAAAAGAUGAGAGAAAAAGCGUAGUCUCAACAUCAGAUUAUAGUAGAGAGAUCAGGGAUUUUAAUGAUUUCAUUGAAAACACGGAGUUAUUGGAUAUUCCAAUGGUCGAAAAAAAGUUUACUUGGUAAAAGCCAAAUGGGACGGUCAAUAGCAGAAUUGACAGAAUUCUUGUCUCACCAGAAAGGUCUUUGAUCAUUGUGCUUUAGUUCUAAAAGUUUUAUCGGUGGAUUGGGGGCCUAAACCUUUCAGGAGUCUGGAUGUGUGGCAAAGGGAUAGUGGGUUCCUGGAUUUUGUUCGCAGUAAAUGGCAGAGCUAUGAGGUGUUUUGUGGAGGGAUGGUUGUUCUAAAAGAAAAAUUGAAAAAUUGAAAGCUAGAUUUGAAGAGGUGGAAUAGGGAGGUUUUCGAGAAUGUCAAUCGGGAAGGGGAAUCUAUACAAAAGAAGAUUCAAGAGUUGGACGCAAGAGACAAUGAAAGUGAGUUAGAUGAGCUGGGGAGGGAGGAGAGGGACUUUUGCUAGUGGAACAAAGUCGAAACCUUUUUACACAAGAAGCGGUCUUGCACCAAAAAGCAAGACUAAAGUGGUUGAAACAAGGCGAUCUAAACACUAAAUUUUUCCACUCCUCAGUGAAGUGGAGGAGAAUGAGAAACGGGAUCAACGGGGUACCUUAUGUGUUCAAUAUACACAAGGGAUUUACCCUACUCUUUCUUUUACUUUAAUAACUUACACAAUAUCCUUUAUUAUAUUACAUAAAUGCUCUGAUUAUAUCACAAAGUACUCCGAUUUAUAUCCAUGAUAUUCAGAUUAUAUGAAAGGAUACUAUGAUAUGUCACAUCAAAACCUGGAGAAACUAGUGUUAGAGAUCCAAGUCCAUGAAGGCUUAUAAAUAGAUGACCACUCAUAGGGAGUAAUCUCAACUCGAAUUUUGGCACUAUACUCACUAUAUAAACAAAAUUUGAUGCUCUUACUGAGUUGAGCGUCAGAGUAUUUUUUGCAGGUGGAGCCCCCCUCAUUCCUUGGAAGUUGAAUCACUAGAGCUUAAAGGGAGACUACCCGAAGCCCACUCAAAUUUAGAUUGACCUCAUCUCGGCGAGAACUGUAAUAGUCUAUCAUUUGAUUGAUAUUGAUGCGGUAUAAAAAUCAUUUAUAUUGAUUCCUCGCAUAUAAAAUUAUUAAGAGAGUCUCUUAAAUAUUGAUUCCUCGCAUAUUUAUAAAAAUUUCUUAUCAUUAUUAUUAGACGUUGAUAGCAAUUAACAUUUCAAAUCUAUUCCAAGUAUUCAAAUACGUUAAGCAUUAUCAUUUGGGUCAGAAACUUAGAAUUACUUUCCAGUCAUAAGAGUUUCAAAGAUGAACUUCAAUCCCAUUUUUCCCAAUUGAAGCAACAAACUCUUUGACUUGUGUUUUUUAAUCAUUGCAAUCAUAACAAACUCCCAACAAACUUUGUUAUUUUGUUUUCUAUUUAAUGAAUAUUUUACUUGAUUAUUCAAGUGUUCCUUGUGAGUUCGAUAUUCGUCCUUAAGGAUAAAUUAUUACUUCUGACAACACGGUGCACUUGUUGUAUCACAUAUUUAUAAAAACUUCUUAUCAUUACGAUUAGACGUUGAUAACAAUUAACAUUUCAAAUCUAUUCCCAACAUUCAAAAUAUGUUAAACAUUAUCAUUUGGGUCAGAAACUCAAGAGUAUUUUCCAGUCAAGAUCAAUCUAGAUCAUAGAAACAAACAUUACAAAUAAAAUGACAAUAACAAUCAUCAAUCAAGAACAAAAUAUUAUAUUUAAAUAUCAACUCAAUACAUAAGAGGAUGAAUUUCAAUCCCAAUUUUCAAAUUGAAGCAACAAAUUCUUGGACUUGUUUUCUAUUUAAUCAUUAUCAUCAUAACAAACUCCCAACAAACUUUGUUAUUUUGUUUUUUAUUUAGUGAAUCUUUUACUUAAUUAUUCAAUUGUUCCUUGUAGUUCUGAAAAUACAAUGCCCUUAUUAAAAUAGUUAUCACAUCUUGUCUCAAUACAUGGGGAUUGGGAGAAGCCAAUAGGAGAUCAUGUUUCCUCUUCAUACACAAAAGCUCCCCAACCACUUAUCACGAAGGAGGAAGUGGCUUUGUACUAAAUCUGCACCAGAUUUCACUCCUCCUCCAGAAGUCGGUCAAGGCCAACCCACUUCUUGUCACUGAACAAAACUCGUAGAUCAAAGAUCAAGAUGCGUUCUGCUUCAAUUCUGAAUUUGCGACACCCUUUGCAAGGAACAUAUCGAGUUAUUAACUUUGAAAGUCAAUAAAAAUAUUAUUUGCAGCAUUUUGAGUUAUUAACUUAUUAAUGACAAUAAAUAUGGAAGUUUUUGUUCAAUAAAAAAUUGAAACGUAAAAAAUGGGAAAAUAUGAUAUAGAAUUGUACCUUAAAUGGCUCUUCCAAUGUUAGACGACUUCUAGGCAAAUUUAAAACAAUGAUGUGCUUUGGAUUAAAUUUUGGUGGGAAAGACUUUGAAGGACACUCUUCCCAGUCAAGAAGUCUUAAAUAAUUUGGUAAAUGUUCAAGUUCAGAUGAAAAUUGUGUGUUUCGAACAAUGAGAAUUCUGAGACAUUCCAUCUUCACCAACUCAGUACCACUCCAUUCUACUUUUUCUCGUUGAGGGGGAUCAAGCAUAAACCCUUGAAUCAUAUCACUUCCCUUUAACACAAGUACAAAGAAGCAACAUCAACUGCCUAUUAUCAGUAAUAUAAAAUACUAUAAUCUAUAAAUAAAAAACAAAAUAGAAUAAAAGAGUAGAGGAUUACGUAAUCUUUUGUUAGUAUUUCAAUAGCAUCUUCAUAAUACCAUAUUCUGCUACGUUUAGCAGGAUUUGGUGAUUCCUGCUUAACAAUCUCUCUACCCAUAUCUUGUAUUAGAUCAUGCAUCUUCAGGCAGCCAUUCUCGACAGUUAUGAGAGAUUUAUUAAGAAGUAAUUUCAUGUUGGUUGUUGGACAAAAUUCUUGAAGUAUCUUUUUCACAUAUUCCAUUCUCUCCCCUUUAAAGAAGCAAGCUAUGUCCAAGAAAAUUUGUUGGGCAUUAUCAUCCAAUCUAUCGUAGCUUAUUUGAAGCACAUCUUGAAUCUUUGUAUUUGGAGUCUUCUCAUAUUCUUUCAUUGCCAUUUCCCAAUCUUCUAAACUUUCAUGAAAAGCAGCUAAAUCAGAGCCUAUGACUUUUAAAGCCAGUGGAAGACCUUUGGCGUAAUCUACAGCACGCACAGACACAUCUUCAAAACCUGUUUUAGGAUAACUUUGUCUGAAGGCAUUCCAACAAAAUAGCUGUAAAGAAUGUUGGUCAUCAAGUUCCUUCAUUUCAUACGUAGGUUUAACUUGGUGAGCAAUUAGCACAUUUUCUUCCCUUGUGGUUAUAAUGAUCCUACUACCUGGACCAAACCAAUUACACUCUCCUGCCAACUUUUCUAACUGGUCUUUAUCACCAACGUCAUCAAGAACCAAAAGAACUUUCUUUUUCUGAAGCUUUUCUUUUAUUUCACCCAUUCCUUUAAUUGUACUUUCCAAUUUAGUUUCCAACUCCUCAAACAUCUUAGAUAAAAGUGUCUUUUGUAGAUCUUCCAUGCCAUUGAUUCUGUUUGAUUUUUCUCUAACAUCGGAAAGAAAACUUGCUGCAUCAAAGUGUUGCACAAUUUUGUCAUACAAAGCUUUGGCAAGUUCCGUUUUUCCAAUUCCACCAAGUCCAUAUAUGCCCAACAUAUUUACAGUUUUAUCAUCAGGCUUCAUGUCUAAAAGUGACAUAACUUCUUCUAUGCAAGCCUCAAGUCCAAUAGGGUUUUGACCACUAUAUAAAGGUUUAGGAAUUAUAUAUUCAUGGACCUUCUCAACAAUUUCUUCAAUACAAUAGCUUUCAUCAUCCCUAUAAGAGUAGAAUGUAUUAAUUAAUUAUUUGUUUGAUAUCAUGAUUUUUUUUAUUGUACUAAGUGGUGAUUAUUGUACUAGAUUUUUUUUUAUCGGCAAUAAAAAAUAAAUAAAAUAAAAAUAGAACCACUUCAGGGGUGGUUUAACCCUUAUACAUAAAAAAGCUAAACCAGCUCCAACUAACGUCUUCCAAAAACCAACCCAACUCUUCUACCCCUUACAAAACCAAGCAAAAAACCUCAAGAAACUAACCUUGUACACUCCAAAGGAGCCAAACACCAGAAUAAGAAAACGAAACUAACCGGGAAUUUGUUGAAACCCAAGACCAAGCCUUUACCUGUGCCAACGCAAAGAGCUCUUUCUCGUCUGCCACUCCUCUAUUAAAAAUUAUACGAUUCCUGUGGCUCCAAAUCUCACUUAUCACCCCAACCCAAAUCGUGUUCCAAGCAACCAGACCCGUCUCCGAAGGUAAGCACAAUCUAAAUUGAUCAAAGUUGCACCUUGGUUCAAUAUGAGUCACAAACUGGAUUCCUAGCCACUUAAAACAUAAACACCAAACUCGCCAAGCAAACGAACAACCAAAGAACAGAUGGCUACUCGACUCCUCCUCCUUCCCGCACAACACGCACCUCAAGCUUUCUAAUCGAACCCCUCUUCUACUAAGAUUGACCCUGGUAGCUAGCUUGUUUUUCAACACCCUCCAAGCCAAAACCAUUGCAGAAGGAAUUGCUUUACUCCUCCACAACUUCCUAAGCUCCUGCGAAGAAACCGCUUCAAAAUCCUUCCUGAUAAGGUUGUAAGCAGAGCUAACGGUGUAAGACUGAACACCCCCACCCUUCCAAAUCCACCUAUCAGUCUCUCCAAGAACAACCUCAACCCCAAGCAGGAGCUGACUUAAUCGAUCCGCCGCCGGUUUCUCCCAUUCGAAAAAAGGCCUUCUCCAAUCAAGUCCCUAGACCCAUCUCCCAUCAGACCAAGACCCAAGAUCCGACAGUUUUGCAUGUUUGUUAGAGCUGAUUGAGAAAAGUCGUGGAAAAACAUUCUUCAACGCCUCACCCAUCAACUAGCUAUCCUUCCAGAAACAAAUGUCCAUCCCAUUCCCAAUCUUCCACUCAAAACUGUCUUCGAAACAUCUCCCCCACCCCUUCGAAUACCAAACUUCCUUCAAAUCCUUCCACCAAAGAGAACAACUCUUACCAUUACUUGCCACCCCCAGAUCUCUCCACCCCCCGUACUUAGAGAAAAUGAUGUCCUUCCAAAGUCCUACCUCAACCGAACCCAACCUCCAAAUCCACUUUCCCAACAAAGCCCCCCAAACUCACGAGGUUUACACACCAGGUUNNNNNNNNNNNNNNNNNNNNNNNNNNNNNNNNNNNNNNNNNNNNNNNNNNNNNNNNNNNNNNNNNNNNNNNNNNNNNNNNNNNNNNNNNNNNNNNNNNNNAGAAAAUCCCUUUGCAACUUGAUCAACUUACUUGCCACCCUAGUAGGCAAUCUGAACAAAGACAUAUAAAAUAACGGAAUAGCAGAAAGCACAAACCUAAUCAGACAAAUCCUCCCAGCCAUCAACAAACUUCUUCCCUUCCACCUGCUUAACCUAGCCUGCACUUUCUCAAUCACCCUGUUCCAAAACGUACCGCACUUGUGACUCCCUCCAACAGGCAGACCCAAGUAAAUGAACGGAGGGGCCAUCGUAUCACACCCAAGAAUCGCUGCAAAUCUCUGAAGUGUGGCCUGGUCCAUCCCCGUCCCUCCAAUCCUACUCUUCGCAAAAUUAACCCUUAACCCAGAAGAUAGCUCGAAACACUACAGGAUCGCCCUGAUAUUAAAGACACUUUUGGUAUUUGCUUCACAGAAGAACAAAGUGGCGUCCGCAUACUGUAACAUAUUUACCUUUACUUUACUCUUCCCAACCUCCAAACUGUCAAUCAACUUCUUUUCCUCUGCUACCCUUGUCACCCCAGCUAAACCCUCCGCCACAAUAAGGAAGAGAAAAGGGGCAAGCGGGUCGCCUUGACGUAGACCCUUUCUAGGAAAGAACUCCCUAGUUGGGCUUCCGUUUACAAGGACCGACACCGAAACUGACUCCAGGCAUCCCUUUAUCCAUCGAAUCCACCGAGCACAGAAACCCAACCUUCUUAACAUAUAAUAUAAAAAUUCCCAUUUCACCGAAUCGUAUGCCUUCUCGUAGUCGACUUUAAAGCAGAUACUUUGUUUUCUCUUUCUCUUGUACUCCUCAAGAANNNNNNNNNNNNNNNNNNNNNNNNNNNNNNNNNNNNNNNNNNNNNNNNNNNNNNNNNNNNNNNNNNNNNNNNNNNNNNNNNNNNNNNNNNNNNNNNNNNNUUCCAAUCACCUUUUUCAGGCGCAAGGAGAGCGCCUUUGAGAUGAUCUUAUACAGGCAACCUACUAAUGAGAUAGGUCUAAACUCCCCCAACUGUUGAGGAUUUUCAACUUUUGGAAUCAAACAAAGAAACGACGCAUUUGAUACUCUUGGCCAACAUCCAAAAUCAGCAAAGUCCUUUACUGCGUUCAUCACAUCCUUCUUCACAAUGUCCCAACAAGAUUUUAAAAAACAAAAGUUAAACCCGUCGGGACCAAGACUUUUUGAACUAUCACACCCCCAGAUCGCAUCUCUUACCUCAUCUUCCGAGAAAACGCUGACUAACAUAGCGUUAUCUGCUUCUGAUAUGGUAUUGAACCUGACAUUAUCCAAAGUGACCUGACAAACAUCGUUCCGGGCAAACCUUUCUUCAAAGUACUUACGAACCUUAUCCUUUACCUCCUCCUUAUCAUCACACCAUUUAUUAUUGUCGAAAAAUCCAUGUAACUGAUUCCUUGCCCUCCUCCACUUAACCGCAGAAUGAAAGAACUUUGUAUUAUGAUCCCCCUGCUUUAUCCAAUUCUGCUUUGCUUUCUAAAAUAAGAUCGCCUCUUGUUUGGAUCUGGACUCAGAUAGUUGAGCAAAUAGGGACUUUCUUUCAUCCUUUUCUGAUUCCAACAACCCGUCUUCGUCGUCACGAGAAUCUAACUCGUCUAACCUUUUCUAGAUUUCCUUACUAGCCUGAUCUCCGAAUACUUCCCUAUUCCACACCUUUAGGUCUGCUUUUAACUUUUUCAGCUUCUCUUUAAACACAAAAAUUCCCCCUCCCGUCACCUUGUAAGCAGACCAGCUCGAACUCACAAACUCCUUGAACCUGUGAUCCUUCAGCCAAACAUUCAAAAACCUAAACGGCUUCGGACCCCAAUCCACUGACACCUCCUUCAGAAUAACAGCACAAUGAUCUGAGAUUGAUCUAUUGAAGACAAAUUGUUGGCUGUUAGGCCACACCUCCAACCACUCCUUGGAGACCAGCACCCUGUCAAUCCUGCUUUUCACCAAACCAUUGGGUUUGAACCAAGUAAACUUCCUGCCCACCAACGGAAUAUCAACCAAUCCGAGCACGACACCAAACUCUUCCUUUCCUCCUGCCUUCUUAUACAAUUAAAGUCUCCAAUGAUGCACCAAGCCUUCGAUAACUGACCUUGUCUGAAACAACUGAUCUCGUUCCACAUCUCCUUCUUCUCUCGAAAAGAUCCUGAACAAUAAAUGUUCACGAUGGUUACUUGGGUUCCAAAACCCCUCUUCCAAACCCCUUCUAACACUGAAAAGUUCCUACCAUUCUUGAAACUGGACAACUGAAAAACCUUAUUGCUCCACAUCGUAAUCACCCUACCUGCUUUAUUAACUGCUUUGUUUUCCACCCAAUCCACUUCGUUAGUUCCCCAAAAAAGACACACCUUUUCCCUACUAAAAUCUGAACACUUUGUCUCUUGUAAACACGCCAUGUUCACCUGCUCCCUACUGAUCAAAUCCCUGACAUAAUUCUUUUUUACCGCCCCGCCUACCCCUCUGAUAUUCAGACUAAGAAUCUUCAUUAACAACCUUGCUCCUCUCUUUCCACAUUCUUCUCGUAGUCACCCCGCCUUGAUUAGAUAACGAAUAAAUACCAUCUAAAACUACCUCUUCUCGAUCGGCGAGCGAAAACCCAGCUUCUUUCCCUACUCCCCAGACACUUGCAGCCAAAUUCUUAUCUGUUUUCACCCAAAAAAUCAUGUUACAAUUCUCAAUUGCGCUAUCAGAAGUGAAAAGUGAAUUCGACGAGCUGCCUGUUUGAUGAACCAAAAACACUUGUUCCACUGAGGACUGUCUUCCUACGACUUCUCCAUCCAAACCCGUCACCCUGCCCUCCGUAUCUCCGUUGUUGCCUCCACCUUCCACUUCAUCUUCCAUACCUGCCCCCAAAUCCUCUAAUAGUCCUCCUGGAGGGAGGGCACACCCACCAUCUCUCGACUUUGACAUCUCUGACCUCCUUGCCCCCUCUGCAUCGACCAACUUUUCAGGAUCUACCAGUUCACUGUCAUUCAAACCUUGGACUACUGGAGACUUUGGGAUGUCCUUUACAGUUGCUACUGAACUCCCGUCGACUCCGUCUCUAAUCACACUGGUCCCAGACUGUUCCAAAUCAUUCAAAGAAGGACAUAUCCCUACCGAAUUAGCGACCCUACUCACUGAACUCGUCUGUCUUGAGACGCUCCCGACUUCUCCUUCUUCUUCUUCGUGACAACCAUCCUGGACACUCAAAUUCUCUUUGCACGGCUUCAUAAAUGCACUUUGGCACUUUAAAUCCCCCACCACUCCUUUCACACUUAGAACUCCAUUUUCCACGCACUUAAUCAUAGGGGGACACACUUUUAAAGAAGCGAGCCCACCAUCAUUAAUUUCCUGCAUUCCUACUUCUUGAAAUGGCUCUUGAGGUGGCGCUUGAAAAGACGCUCCAGCCCUCACAUUCCCUCUCAACAUGCACCUACUUUCACUUACCCCUCCAUUACUCCUUGCCUUAUCAUUCGCUGACUUGGACUCCUUGGAACUAGCCACCUCCACGUAGGAAUCCACUAUCUCUAUCUUUGAACAGCUAAGAGAACCGUGCCCACCCACUAACUCCACUCUCUUUCUCAAAGAAAUACCGUGCACAUUCAUUGGCCCUCUUAAAUUAUCUUGAAACCAUCCUUCACGCCCCUUACCAAGACAAACCGGGUCCACCAUGCCCUGGACCGUCUCUUCCAACUCCAAGCCUCCUUCCCCGACGGCACCCACACCUCCAUCUCCGGCCAACCCAAGCUCCGACCCCACUGAAUCGCACAAGCUUGCACCUACGCUUCCGUCAUCGGAGUUAGCUUCGGUGUCUACCUCUAAAGCUCCGCCAUUCCACUUGCCAAGACUCUGCUCCGGGACGGACAUCUCUUCAACAAAGGCAACCUUACAUGACCUACCAUUGAUGCACAACUCCUUCUCCAUAUUGACUGUUGAUCUUACCGAUGUUUUAACUCUAAACCGAGCAAACUCCACUGUUUCUCUUCUCUCAGUUACUUCGUCGACCUCCAUCACCUCUCCCACCACUACCCCUAUUUUGGAAAAACUAUGUUUGCACCAGAACUGUAGCGGGAUUCCACUGCAUCGUAUCCAUGCAAAACGUUCUUUUAGUUCGAAAGAACCAUCCCAGGGUGUAACCGCCGAGAACGCUUCGUCGAACCAAGACCUGUUGUCUGCAAUGAUCUUCUUCAGACUUCCUCCAUCAUCGCAAGACAGCAGAACGAACCUACCACCAAGAUAUCUUACUUUGACUAGGCUGAAACCUCCCAACACAAAGCUCUCCUUAAUCACUUGCAUGCUUGGAAGCUCUUUCAAACUACCAACGUAGCAUCUACUAACCAAUCGUCUUGUUCUACCUCCACUGUAACCUGAGAAUCAACGUCGCCCCCCAAAGAGCUACCCACAAUCUCGCCUGUUCCAAGCUUUCCUGCCCCCCCCCCCCCCCCGAAACCACUUGAGCGAACGAAACCUGCUCCGUUUGCUUCCCCUUCCCACUCGUUGUGCUCGUCAUUGGGUUCCUCCCUAAUCUGGACCCUUCAUUCCUUUGCUUCCUUGAACCAUCCUUCCUCUUAUAUUUGGGAAGGUUCACCUGCAUCUUCCAAGUGCCAAUCCAGAGUGCACUCAAUUCUCUUUCCAGGGAAAGAACAUCCUUCACACCCUGGAACCUUACAAAACCAAACUUCUUAUUCCUUGCAUUGAGCUUUCUUGAAACAAAGACAUCCAUAACCCUUCCCCACCUUUGGAAAACCUUCCAAAGAUCUCUCUCCAUGAAAUGCUCGGGGAAGUUAGUAAAGAAAAACGAAGUGUCCGCCAUUGUCGAAAGUUAACAAACCGCCUUUACUUACUCCGACCAUCGUGUUUCUCCGGUUACUAUUUUAUUGUACUAGAUAGUAAGCAAUGAUACUAAUAGCAAGUAGCACAAAAGAACAAUGAUUACACAUUAUACAAAAUUUACUGGAGAUGAAAAAGUUAGAGAAAUUUUAUUCUAAACAAAAAAUUCAAUAAUUUAUAAAGAAAAAUACCUAAAUAUAAUAUAAUAUUCAAAUAAAGAAUGAUUUUUUCCACUUUGGAUUUUUAUUAGUUUUUUAUCUUUUAAAUUAUACUUUUUAAUAUCCAGAAUUAUACUUUGUGACUAACAAAAUCAAUUAACACCCUGAAAAAAAUCUAAAGUUUAAGAUGUAGAAUAUUAUAUAUAACAAACUACACAUGAUAAAAACAAUAUUGCAUCCCAUUAUAAUUAAGAUGUAGAAUAUUAUAUAUAACAAACUACACGUGAUAAAAAUAAUAUUGCAUACCAUAAAGUAUAUUACUUGAAAUCAUUUUUGUUUGUGAAAAGUAAAGUCCUACAUAAGAUUAACUUAUUUUUGGUUUUUAACCUUUUAUAAAAGGCUAUAAUUAUUUUUUAACUAAAUUAAUUUAUUUUUGGAUGAGAGAAAAAUUAAGAGAGGAAAAAUAUUUUUUCUUUUAAAUUUUCUUACCAAUUGUAUUUUUUUUAUAAGAGAAGUAAAGUCUUACAUCUUAAUAGAUGAUAUAUGUGGAUGAUAAGUUAGUAAUAGUUUCCAACAAAGUUCGAAUAUGAGAAUUGAAGGGCAUUUGAUAAUAAGAAUUUAAGAUCAACAAUCUAAGAUUUUAGAAAUACUCACCAAUAUAGAAAAGAGAAAUGUUUUACUUCCUUAGAAUAAAAUAUUUCAAUCAACAACAUAAAAAAUUUAUGAUAAGAGGUAAAGCAAUACUCACCUGGGAGCAUGGUGCUUAGAAAAUCUAAGGAGGUGUUGAAGGAACCCAAGAGAACAACAUGGUACUCAUUGAGAAAAUAUUGUUAGAGUUUAUGGUGUUCAAUAAACACAAUUGAUGAUGGAAGUGAGAAACAACGAAAGAAAGACAAUCGAGACUCUCUAUGCUCUGUGUGAAAGAACCCAUUACAACAACGUUCAUUGAGGUAACAACUCAUACCAUUAACAACUUUCCAUUUGACUUUGCUAUUAAUAAUAGCAAUAGACUCUUUUGCUUACGAAAUGGAAGUGCAGAGGAUAUUAGGUUAUGUGAAUUAGGUUAGGAAAUCAGAAUUACAUUUAUAGGGUAGGAUGAAAAUAUCUUAAAGAUGAUUGAGAAAAUGAAGGGAAGAGACUGCGAAAUGAAAAUAUUAAAGGGAGAGAAGAGACAAUCCAAUUGAUGAAGAUAAUAUGUUUAAACAUUGUAGGGGAAUUGAUUAAUAAGGAGGAGGGUGGGGUAGUGUGCUAACAAGAAACCAAAUUGGAAAUAGUCAAUAAAGAAAGAUGCUACAAUAUGGGAAACGAUGACAUAAAAUGGGAACAUUUUGCAGUUGUAAAUGGAGUACAAGGAAUUUUAACUAUGUGGCCUAAGGAUACUUUCAUAUGUGAAACAUUGGUUAGAAACACAAGUUUUGUAAGGGUUAAGGAAAGGUACAAAAAGAAUAAUAUGUCAAUAGUAAUACUAAAUGUGUAGUUCCCUUAGAGAAAUGUUAGAGAAAUGUGACUAAAUUAUGUCUUGAAGCAAAAUGAACUUUUUUAUCUUUAACAAGUUUUACGUCCAAUUAUGAUAGAUAUUGAUUUGCGCUCAAAUUUUUUUUUUAGAUUCGUGGGUAAUUAUUUAUGGACACAAAUAUGUCAGUAAAUGUCUAACAUUAUCUAUUGGUACAAUUCGUCGAUAAUAAAAUAAUAUCGACGAACAUAAAUCUGUCAAUAAAUUUUCAUUAGUAAUUCAAUAAUUUUUUGUAGUAGGUGGUUUUAAGAGAAAAAUUAAAAAGAUUUAAGCAUGACUUAAAAGUUUGGAAUAAAGAGGAAUUUGGUAAUGUAAACCAAAUCAAGCAAACCACUAUAACUCAUAGAGGUGAUUUUGACAAAAUGGAUUACUCAAAUGAUCUAUAUGAGAAAGGAAUGAUGGAAAGGAAGAAACUCUUUAGUGAACUCAAACUCAUAGACUAGCAACAUAAGUCCUUGGAGAAAUAAAUUCAAUGUUAGGCUAAUGAACAUUAUCUUCUAUUUCUCCUAGUGAUAAUAUAGUCCUAACAAGACAAAAUAGAAAUUAAGAAAGCACUAGGCAUGUUGUGUGGAAUAUGUGCAACAAGUAUGUUGGAGUAAGUACUGCUACUCAAAAUCAUGUAAAGUUGAACUUUCAACAAUUCUACUUGUCGAGAAUGAAUGACAAAGGAAAUAGGAUAUGGGGGUGUAUGUGGAUAGAGAUCUUUUUUUUGGAUUAUAUAGAAUCAAAGGAAUAAAAAUAUCUUUAAGAAUGAGACCGUAUAUGAAGAGAUAUUUUUUUUACACAAAUAAAAGUAUAAGCUUGGACAAGGAAUAGAUCUUUAUCAACUUUCACAUAAAACCCCUAUAUAAAUAAUAUGGUAUACUCGCACAAUGGGCAUAUGCAAUUGUUAUCAAUUAUAAGUUUUUUUCAAGUUUGAGUCACUAAGAGUUGAGAUUUAUCGAGUACCAUAGACAUCAACGAUGUAAAACCUUAUGUACGACAUAUGUAAAAAAACUAAACUUUAAAUAAGGAGUGACAACAAUUAGUAUAGGUUUAUGGUAAAUUCUGAUACUGAGAUGUGAAGUGUUAUUAAGAGGAUCCUUAGAUACUUCAGAGGAACCUCAGACAUUGUAUUAUGUUUUGAAAUAUCAGAAUUAGAUAUGAUCUUUAUUAAAUGAAGUCUAUUAGUGACUAUGUGUGUAUACUUAUAGGUGGAGCAAUAUGUUAAUUAUUCAAGUUGGAUGAUUUUAUAAUUUUGUCUAGUACAUAAAUUGAAAACAUAAAAGGCAUCCAAGCAUACAUGAAAGCUAUCUAAAUUCAAAGGUAUACAUGAAAGCUAUCUAAAUUCAAAGGUUAAUUGAUGAACUAAGACAUAAAGCAACAAAAAAAAAAAUAUUCUAAUAGUGAAAAUGCAUUUACACAUAACAAUAAUAGUGAAAAUGUAUUCUAUUCGAUAGAUAAUAUACUAUUUUUUUAUUUUAGAUUUAUAAGGUGGUUAUAUUAUAAUUUUAUUUCUUUAAUUUUAUAAAGUUACUUUAUUAAUUUUAUUUUAGUUGUAAAUAAUUAUCCCAUAAAAUACAUGAUUUUUUCGAAAUAUGGGAUGAAAAAGAAAUAACAUUGAAUGGUUUGUUAUACAUACCCGGUGGUAAUAAUAUGCCUCCCUGGGAAGUCAAAAGCUUGAGACAAGGCUGACCUCCAAGCCUGCAUUUUCUGUGAUUCUUUUCCAAUCUCAUGUUCAUGUGCCUUCAUGUGUUUUCCGAAGCUGUUUCUCUCGUGCCGUAUAUCUGAGGGAUCUACAUGGUAAAACACUGGGUAAACAAGCUGCUUCUUCUCCUUCAUUUUGCUGCGUUCUAUGAUCCUAACAAGUUCAUCCAGACACCGUGUAGAAGAUGCAUAGUUCUCAGAAAACACAACGAUGAAAAUCUUAGAUUCUUCAAUGGCCUUCGACAGAGCAGGUGGAAGACUUUCCCCUAUCCUCAUAUUCCUAUCAUCAUUGAAACUUUUUAUUCCCCUCCUACCCAACUCUCUACGCAGAUGCCCUAUAAAAGUGUACCUUGUAUCUUCCCCUCUAAAACUGAUGAACAAGGAAAUUUGUUUGGCCUUAUCAUCCAAUUUAUCGUAGCUUAUUUUAAGCACAUCUUGAAUCUUUUUAUUUGGAGUCCUCUCAUAUUCUUCCAUUGCCAUUUCCCAAUCUUCUAAACUUUCAUGAAAAGUAGCUAAAUCAGAGCCUAUCCUUUUUAAAGCCAGUGGAAGACCUUUGGCGUAAUCUACAGCACGCAGAGACACAUCUUCAAAACCUGUUUUAGGAUAACUUUGUCUGAAGGCAUUCCAACAAAAUAGCUCUAAAGAAUGUAGGUCAUCAAGUUCCUUCAUUUCAUACAUAUUUUUAACUUGGUGAGAAAUUAGCACAUCUUUUUCCCUUGUCGUUAUAAUGAUUCUACUACCUGGACCAAACCAUUUACCCCCUCCUGCCAAAUUUUCUAACUGGUCUUUAUCACCAACGUCAUCAAGAACCAAAAGAACUUUCUUUUUCUGAAGCUUUUCUUCUAUUUCAGUCAUUCCUUUACUUGUACUUCCCAAUUCAGUUUCCAACUCCUCAAACAUCUCAGAUAAAAGUGUCUUUUGUAGAUCUUUAAUGCCAUUGAUUCUGCUUGAUUUUUCUCUAACAUCGGAAAGAAAACUUGCAGCAUCAAAGUGUUGCAAAAUUGUGUUAUACAAAGCUAUGGCAAGUUCCGUUUUUCCAAUUCCACCAAGUCCAUAUAUGCCCAACAUAUUUACAGUUUUAUCAUAAGGCUUCAUUUCCAAAAGGGACAUAACUUCUUCUAUGCAGGCGUCAAGUCCAAC